AAUAUAUUUUCUAGCAUCUAUUUAAAGAUGGCUCCUGUAACAUGCUCAUUUGAGGUUGUGUCAUCAGAUUAUUCUAUACAAUAUCAGAUUGUAUACAAUACAAAUAAAAAAACGAACAAUCAUUCUUCGUAAAAUAAAUAACGUUACAAAUAAGGAUUGACAUAAUGAACGGCAGAGAUAUUCAUUUAUUACAGAAAUUGAAUUCUGCCUUUGCUGAAGAAAAUUGGGACGAGUUAUUGAAUCUUCUCAAUCCAAAAAUAUUUAGAUCUUUUGAAUCGAAGGAAUUAAUUGCCUUUCCAGUCUUGGCAAAAGUAGCACAAAUUCUUACAACCGAAGACUCUGUCGUCCCAAACGAUAUAAAGAUUGGUUGCUUAAAAUGCCUAGGAAAUUCUUGUUUUAAUAGUUAUGUACACCAACAAUAUAUUUCAACUACAAUCGAGCGAGGGACAUACAGUCACGAUUUAUAUCGCGUUCUAGCAAGUAACGAAAAUUUAGAAGAGAUUGAGAAUUCUAGCUCUUAUCCAUUCGAUUCUCAUUUUCCUUACGAGGGUGUUGUAGGAUGGACAUCGAACGUUAUUACAGCAUUUCACUGUAAAUUCGAUAGCGAUCUGUCGGAUGAAAAGUUGGAAAUUUUAAGAUUAAGUAUCCAGUUCCUAUGUAAUCUGUUUACAUUUGCGUGUAAAGAUAGUAACUUUCCAGAUCAAUAUAAUAUACUACAAUUUUUAUACAAUACUGAUUUAAAGGAUGUAAUAAUAACUAUGACACAUUCUAAACAUAUCCCAAUUGUUAGAGCUUCGUGUGCAUUUGUACAUAAUGCUUUGAAGGAAUUUGAAGGAAAAACUUUCUUGGAAGGAGAAAAAAAACGUUUAUGUUCACAAUUAUUGAAAGCAACUAAAGAAGGUUUUGAAAGUGCAAAGGAGGCCCUGAUGCUUUUAUUAUUUGAAAAGGACAUACUGCGAAGCGUGUACUGCGAUAUGACUAUCGAAAAUAAAUUAUGUUUAUUAGAAAUAAUUUAUAACGAACUCUCAAAUUCAAUGCACAAAUUUGGAAACGAAUACAAAUUUACGAAGGAUGCGAUUGAAUUUUUAAUUAAAAGAUUUUGUAGAAAAAGUGAUUUGAUUUUGAAGACAGUGGAUACAUGUUUAGAUGAAAUAGAACCUACGGAAAUUGUCAUUCUUCUUGAUAUUCUUGGAGCCUUGACUUCAAGAUCUUGCGAAGAAUGUAGUUUUCUAAAGGAUCAGAAGAGCUUGCUUAUUAAUUGUAGCUAUCUAUUAAAGUCCAUUCAAACGAUUGGAAAACUAUCAGAUAAUUAUUUCACGCCGCUACAAAAGUUGAGCGACGUAGCUUCAGCGAUACAAGGGUCAACAACGAAAAGUGAUUUACAAAGUCAUCCUACAUUUGGUUUUAAAGCUGGUUUAAUAAGGAUUAUUGGAAAUAUGUCAUACAGAAAUAAGGAAUAUCAAGAUCUUCUUCGAGAAAUGGACGUCGUACCUCUGCUUCUGGACUGCUGCAAUAUAGACGCGAGAAAUCCACUUAUAAUGCAAUGGACGAUCCUUGCGCUGCGGAAUUUAUGCGAGGAUAAUCCGGCGAAUCAAGAGAUCAUCCGGAAUUGCAACAGAGUCGGCGUCGUGGAGAGCAGCGUGCUGCAGGAAAUGGGUGUCGCGCUGCACGAGGACGAGGAAGGAAAGAAAAUUGGAAUCGUGCCCUUGCCGCGUGAACGAAAAUAACAGACUUUAUCGAAGAUCUUUCACACGGAGCCUCUUUGGCGAAGUCUCUCUUCGUUUUUAUCCAUUGGCUCGAAAGAGGGCGUGGAAUCGUCGAUGUCCGCCGACGUGGCUACACGGGACCCUGUUCCACGGGCUAUGGUCUACCGCGUGGACACGCGGACCCGGAUCGGCCCAGCCUCCGUAGUCCUCGCCGAAUUUAUAACGCGCCACGAAUAGUUCCGUGUUCCACGCGGCCGCUCUUCUCACGCUUCGCGCCACCCGGACACGGCCACCACCGUGGUACACGUGUUUGCGUGUCGACCUUACCGAGUAGCCCCGGUUUCCACGACUCUCUGAUCGACCAUCCUCCGAGGAUCGGGUUAGGUACGAUGUGCCGUCCACCAUUGAUCUUCUUCGACCAUGGGUUCGUGAGAUCCAGGUUUCAGAGUUCCGAGUCUAUCGGAGAAGGAUGCCGACCUUUUGAAAGAAUUCAUAUCGUUACGACGUAGCUGCUAGGAGGAUUUAUACGCAUAGCUAUCUCGAAAGAUCGUCGCGUAUUUUUAUUUUAAACGAGAAGCACGGAACCUGAACCGAACCCAUUUUGAACCGAACCGAAGAAAUUUUGCCUCGUCUCGAACGAGACUCGCGACAACCAACUACCUGACGGAUUAACGGAUUGCCGGCUAUUAUUACGCCCUGACAGGAACACCGUCGAUGUCUUAAGCAGUCCGUGUACCCUGAACGUUACACCGCCGCUUUUACGUAGAGUAAGAUUUAUUCUCGCGCGAGUUUCGUCGAACUUGCCCAUAAUAUGGCGGUUAUUUAUUAAAAUUGGUCCGAUGACGAAUGCGGCAGCGACGUAAUAUGCGGGACAGCGAAUAAAAUACGGUAGCACGAGCCUUCUUAUAGGUGUACUCGAGUACAGUAGGUGGAAAUGAUACAGCGAGGUCGUAAAGUUGGUCGGUAAAGUUAAUUUACAAUUUUCCACGACCGCAAGCGUAGUAAGACUAUUCGAGGCAAAAGUAAGCUUCCGCGCACUUACAUCGAACUUUGCACUUUGCACGGGAUAAUC